CUCCGGGUAACUGGUUUUUGCCAGGAACAAAUAAACAUUUCUCUCACAGCCCUUGUCAAUGCUACAGAAGUAUCAUUUGCCAAAUGGAUAUAGUCAUGUGAAUGCCCAUGGCAGCAGCUACAUCAACAAAGAAAAGUGUACCUUGCAAUUUUGUAUUUCAUGUAAUUAAAAUCUGCAGAGCUUAAA